AUGAAACCUAUGAAUGCAAAUGAUCCCAUUGAUGUUUUGAAUAUCAAAAUGAAGAGAUUCAAGAAAUUUUUCAAAGGUUGGGGAUCCAACUUGUUUGGGAAAUCUAGAAAAAGAAGGAGAGAUCUUAGAGAGGAACUUGAACAUCUAGAAAAACUAGAAGAAACUGAUGUGCUUUCCCCUGAAUUAUACUGCAAGAAAGUUGAGAUUUUGGUGGAAUUAUAUAAUCCACUGGUAGAAGAGGAGAUUACAUGGAUGCAAAAAUCCCAUGAAAAUUGGUUGUUGAAAGGGGAUAGAAAUACUGACUACUUUCACAGAAUAGUAAAUGGGAGAAGGAGGAGGAAUACUAUUUUCUCACUUAGUUGUGGGGAUGAGAUGAUAGAGGGGACUAAAAACCUGUUGAAACAUGCAACAAAGUUCUGUAAGGACCUAUUUGGACCUGCAUCUGGAAAUCUAUGCAAGGUAAAAGAGGAUAUGUGGGAGUCCAAUGAGAAAUUGACAGAUAUUGAU
rnacentral:rRNA from 1 species